UGGAUCGGAGGGGUGCUUAUUGUUUAUCUAUUUGUUCUUGUUUUAGGUAUCAUAUAUUUUUGUUAAAAUAAUAAAUUUUGUUUCUAUUAAACUUUAGAAUCCUCAAAAAUAAUUUCCAAAUAUUUCAUUGCUUUUACCUUACCCAACUUUUCUUUAAUCUCUUUUCUCUUCCACAUUCGUCAAUUCUUUGUAUGUGGACCUAUACGCCAUCGUUAAAAUACUUUUUUUAAUUUGUCAAAGGACCGAAUCUAACCUAGAUAGUGUUUUGCGUUUUUUUUUUAAAAAAGUGGAUAGUUUUCAAACUUAGCCGAACAAUAAUUUCUGAUACUGGAGUUGAGUAGCAAAAUUUAGCCUGCGACAAGAGUCGUUCUAGUUUUGUAUUCACAGCAACGUUACAAGCUAACUAGACCAGAUUUACGGCUCUGGGUCUCUUUUUAAUUGCAGUGUUACUUACGUUUUCCAUUUCGUUCUUGUUGCAUGCAAACUAUAUAGUAUCACAUUUGCCCUUGUUCUGCAGAUUUAUUUUGUAUUUCUUUUCGGUGCAAGCAUUGCGCUCGGAGCAGUUCUCGGUAGUUCUUUUGCUGAAGACAUGAAGGGCAAGGGGAUGAAAGUAUUAGGAUACGUGUUGGGCAUGUGUGUGACAGUGCCCGUAGCCAGCCUCAUCUGGUGCCCUCUCGUGUGCUGCGACCCUGAUGAUUCGUGUUUUGGUGAGCUGAGAUGAAACUAUACCUAGCUAGGAGUAUAAGAUGAGUUCAUAAACUAGCUAGGUGUUCAUUUGCAGGAAUGUACCAGGAUAGGCUUCUUUAAUUGCCAUGUUUGACAGCAUGAUCUGAGAUGUUAGUG
rnacentral:lncRNA from 1 species